AUUAAUAGUUUUUGGGAAUACUAUAUAUUAAGGAAAAUGACCCUUUUGACUUUAUGAUGCUUUUUUCAUGCAGAGAUUUCUUUAUGUAGGCAAAUUUAGCAAUUCUUUCACUAAAACUUUUCUAGUGAGGUCCUUCCCACUCAAAGAUCAUAAAAGACUAUAAAAAUAAUUAUCCUUUGGUUUCUUUUUUUAAAUUUUUGAUUACAUCUUUGAUCCUUCUGGAAUUAAUUUUGGUGCAAGGACUGAGGUAGGGGCUCACGUUUCCUUCCCGAUGUCAGCCACUACUUUUGGUCUUUUAAUCUAUAAAAGCAGGGCACUGGGUUAGAAUUUCCUAAAUUCUCUUAUAUAUCAAACAAAGCACUCACUGCAAACUUGAUCAAUAGAGGAAAGUAUGCUUUUUUUGUAUUUUACCUUUUACCAGUUUCACUUACUGUAAAUCAUAAGGUUGUCUUACAUAGUAGAAAAAUAGCAUUAUCUUAAACCUGGCUUUUUAUUACUAAAUAUAUCACUAAAAAUGCUUUACAAAGCAGUAAUGAUUUUAUUUCUUGGGGAAUAAAAUCAAGAAAGCUAAAGGAGCUGCUAUGCCACUGUGUAAGAUCUAGUCCUUUAAAAAUGAAAUUUCAUACCUCACCAUGUUUGGAUUAGUUCUUCAUGAGAUUCCUGUUGGAGACUGACAGUUUUAGAGAAAGGCAGAGUAUUUAUUGACAUUAGGAAAUGCCAAGACCUAUAGAGACUAGCCAGGGAAAAGGACUGGAUGUGGUGAAGUGAAGAACAUUUUGAAAGUAAGCUCUGUGAGGGCAGUAAAAUUUUCACUUUUGUAUACUGCUUUGUCUCUAAUGCAAGAAACAGUGUUCUAAGCAUGUUUGUAAAUAUACAAAUACCCAGGUUAAAGGGGAUAGCCACUGUUUAGCUCAGUCCUGUUGCUAGAUGGAAAUGUGAAUAUAGGAUUCCCAGAUCUCUCAAAUUUUCAAGUGGAACUAGAACUCGUGAAUUCUGAAUUUUAAAUACAGUAUUGGCAAUGAAUUCCAAUUUUGGGGUCAAAACAUGUCUAUAGGUAAGAUUCUGCCCAAAGGUCACCAGUUUGCCACUUCUAUAAAUUAAAUAGUAAAUAUAAGUGUAAUAAUUUUUACUUGAGUCAGGUCCAAGGUUAAUAAAAGUUUAUAUAUGCCUUACAGCUAACCAUUGUUUUUAUAGGUCAGAAACCCUUCUUGCCCUGAUUGGAAACUCAACUUACCCUGCAGCAAAGGUAUUGGAGAAAAGUAAAUCCCAAAUGUCAGUGGACAAUUUUUCUCUAGUUGGAAGACUCCUUUGCAAUCCUAGAAGUAGGUAUGGACAGAGGGCACUGGGAAUGCCAGUAGGUAAGGGAGUGAAUGCUACACAACUUCCAACCCUAUGGGACAGCCUUGGGAUGUUCCAUAUUGUCAUUUCUUUUUCAAGCCAUACAAAGUUCAACUUUAUAGCAAAUGGCAGCACAUAAAUUCAUUUCUGAGUAGUAAAAGUAUUCCCCAUACAGGUGACAAGUCCAUCAUUACCAUCCUAUAGAUUUCAUCACAAGCUCUUGAAAUAUAUACUGAGAAAUGAAAGAGGCACUAAAUGUGUUGAAAUUCACCUUUCAAAAAAGCAGCAUGACUGUGAAGGAA
rnacentral:lncRNA from 1 species